rnacentral:rRNA from 1 species
UACAGAGGUCUCAAGCGUUGUUCGGAUUCAUUGGGCGUAAAGGGUGCGUAGGUGGCGCUGUAAGUCGGGUGUGAAAUUUCGGAGCUUAACUCCGAAACUGCAUUCGAUACUGCGGUGCUUGAGGACUGGAGAGGAGACUGGAAUUCAUGGUGUAGCAGUGAAAUGCGUAGAGAUCCGGAAGAACACCAAGGCGAAGGCAGUGUCCUGGCUCGUUUCUGACGCUCAAGCACGAAAAGCUAGGGGAGCGAACAGG